CCUAUAAGAAAAAAAUAAAACCACACACACUAGAGAAUGGCACCUACUACAUUAUCAGGAACUGCACCAUUUGCACAGCAAGCUGGUAGCAUUCACUGUGAAACGUUUUUCCCCAUUUUUCAGUUGCUCAUGUUCUCAAGUGUCUUUUGCAGGAGAAUUUUCCAUCCUCUGUCUUAAUUCAAAACAGAAUUUUUUUUUUUAAAGGAAUGAGCAAAACUUGAGUCAAAUUUGAGUAACACAAGCAUAAAAACCCACUUUCCCCCAUAUGUUCUAAUGAGAAAUCUGAGAAAUUACAUGUACAUAACCUAAAGCCGCUGAACCUAGCAACUUUGCAUUUUGGCUUGUUUGAUAAUCCUCAGGGAGACAUAAGUAAGACAAGAAUGAAGACAAUCAGUUCAUUUUUAAAAAGGUAUGAACUCUGAAAGACAACAAUUUAGCAACAUGAGAAUCCUGUUAAUAUUUUUGGAUGUCUUAAUUUUGGGAUGCAAGCUGAGCAGCUUUAUUUCUCAGCAACCAGUGCCAGCAGCUUUUUUUCCUUUUCUUUUAUUUCAAACACAACUUAAAUACCAAGAACUACUGUAAAUGCAACUUUCAUAUUGAGAAAUCAAGCACUCAAGAGUCAAACUUCGAAAGUUAAGAUUUCUCCUUCAGUGCUAAGGCACACAGCUCAUGAUUUUCUAUUCCCAUUUUCCAUAUUUGGUGUAAACUUGACUGGUUUACUAUUUAACAACAUAUCAAUAGGCCAGAUUAGAUUCACAAAAUAACGUUCAAGAAGGAACUUUAAUUUUUGGAGUUUUCUGACUUUUGGAUGCUUGAUUUCUUACCAUUUUAACUUGGCAUUGUUUACAAAAACUAAGAAGUUACAGGUGGUUGGGUUAUCUAGCGUAUGUCCAUGCCAUUAGAUCUAGGUUUUUGCAUUUUAUACUCAGAGACUGUGCAAAACAUUAGUUCUAUAUUCUUUCCUUACACACCACAACCAAGCAAGAAGUGAUUUCUGGACCAUUCCAACUUUUCAAAUCAGCGAGGAAAACGAUAUUGAAAGUUAAUAUCUAUUUAUUUAUGUAUUAUAGGACUCAGCUGAGUCCUACUUUAAAGAAAAACUAACAGGACAAAUAAAGGAUAACUCUCUAAAAAGCAGCGAAGACAUCAGAAGGCUUACCUUCUAUAACUUGAGUAACUUGGGACUGAAAGUUCUCGAAGUUAAAGGGGGUGAGAAAUCCAAGAGAUCCCAGAUGAAAAGCCAUAACUGGAGGUACGCUGCCCUGUCCAUAGAAAGAAGAAUUGGGAGGCUGUUACAUGUUGCACAAAUCAAACAUUUAUGUUAUUUCCAUGCUUUUUAAUGUAUAAGAGGUACCAUAUUACAGCCCAGUCUAUCUGCAAAUAUCUUAAUUAUGGAUUUUACUUCAGUUAAGCAUAAUAGUAAAAAACAAAGGUAUAAUUCACCUAAGUAGCUCUCAUGCUUUUUGAAUGAGAAGGGGAGACUUGGCAGGAGCAGAAUAAAAUAAACACAACAUGGCAGAAAACUUCAAGAUUGUCUCUAACACAGAGGACUUGAUUAGGGAAAGGACCUCUAAUUACUAUUCCCUAUAGGACUCACCUGAAAAAGUGAAGAAGCAUAAAGCAAGGUACCAUCUCCUCCCAGGCAUAUGAUAAAGUCUAUCUGAUUGGAGAUAUCAUCAUAAUCUAGAGGAUAACAUUGAAAAUAAAGGUUUAAUUUACACAAUGUAUCACAGGUUUCAAUUUAUGGAAUAAAUUUGGUGCAGCACACUGAUGCUAAUUUACAUGUGUAAAUGAUUGACACUAUCAAAACAGCUACAUGGGUUUAUCAAGAAUAGGUUUCCAUCAGACAAUUCUGAUUCAUUUGAAUGGAUCACUAAGGAAACAGAAUAAAAAGGCAGUAAACCUAGAUUUUAAGAAAUCAUUACUGUACCUUCUCUGAAAGUGCAAAAUUUCUUCUUCACUGGUCCAAAAUUAUCAUCAUUAACUAUGGCUGGGUCUUCUAGCACUUUUUUUUCUACAUAAACUAUCAUGUUGUUCUCCUAAAAGAAGCAUAAUUAUUUACUAAAAAAAAAAAAAUCUGUUAAUGAAAUGACAAGCGCCUGAGCAAUAUUCUAUUAGUUUACAAUGAUUUAAAUUACAUAUGAUGAUGUAAAAUAUUACAAGACUGAUUGCCUACUUCUGUAUGUAUUGUUACAAUCCUGCAGCAUUUAAGCAUAACACUUAUUGUCAUAUGAAGGCCACAUAACGAUUGAAUUAACGAAACUAAACUUCGGAAUUUUCAUUACAUGCCUGUGAUAUGGUAACACUGUUAUGUUUUCUAAUAUUUUUUCUCAAGGCAUAAUGAAAUGAAUAUUUUACCCUAUUCAUCUAUGUUAAAGAAGCAGAUUCCUUUAAGCUAAAUUAAGCUGAGCUCUUAUAGCAAGAGUAACUGGUUUUAAAGUUUAAUAAUUUAUUAUUUCUGUUCUCUAUA